CAGGUGAAGGAGAAGAAGGGAGCACGGGGCCUGCAGGAUGCCUCCCGCUCAGUGACGCCGCCGCCAACAUGCUGCCACGUGUGGUGUAUCGAGUGACGCGCUCCUGUUCAAGUUACCUGUUAGCAUGAUAACUGCACCUGCUACCUGGUGCAUUAUAUCAGCUGAUUGGAUUCUCUUCACUCAACUUGACACGAGCUGAAACCUCUUCCCUCUUCAUUGUACGUGAUUAUUGUCUCUCAGUUGGGAGGCCCGGGAGGGGGAGGAGGAGGAGGACCACCGCGUCACGUGUUUGUGGAAUGAGGGACGCGGCGCUGGUGGUCCCUUGAGGCAGGAGGACCACAGCUCACACCGAACACAAGCCGGCCCUGGAA